AGUUAACCCUGUUACAAUCAAUAGGAUUAAUCCUGUCUUCCCAGUUAAACACAUACUUAAAGGGUUUGCCAGUUGGGGACGGAUUGCCAGCCGGAUUGCAAAAUGCAACCUUUGCCACCUUGUAAAACUUGCCUGUUGAUUUUUCUCAGUUGCAGCUACUUUUUGAAAUCACUAUGAGCCAUGUACCAACGGGAGCAGAAGCCAGAACAGUGGCUCUUGUGUACCACUGAAUGAAGGGAGGCAGG